CGCACCCUGAUCUAGCCAUGCCGCGUGAGUGAUGAAGGCCUUAGGGUCGUAAAGCUCUUUCGCCUGUGAUGAUAAUGACAGUAGCAGGUAAAGAAACCCCGGCUAACUCCGUGCCAGCAGCCGCGGUAAUACGGAGGGGGUUAGCGUUGUUCGGAAUUACUGGGCGUAAAGCGCGCGUAGGCGGAUUAGAAAGUUGGGGGUGAAAUCCCGGGGCUCAACCUCGGAACUGCCUCCAAAACUGCUAGUCUAGAGUUCGAGAGAGGUGAGUGGAAUUCCGAGUGUAGAGGUGAAAUUCGUAGAUAUUCGGAGGAACACCAGUGGCGAAGGCGGCUCACUGGCUCGAUACUGACGCUGAGGUGCGAAAGUGUGGGGAGCAAACAGGAUUAGAUACCCUGGUAGUCCACACCGUAAACGAUGAAUGCCAGUCGUCGGGUAGUAUACUAUUCGGUGACACACCUAACGGAUUAAGCAUUCCGCCUGGGGAGUACGGUCGCAAGAUUAAAACUCAAAGGAAAUUGACGGAUCCU
rnacentral:rRNA from 1 species